rnacentral:rRNA from 1 species
UACGUAGGGGGCGAGCGUUAUCCGGAUUUACUGGGCGUAAAGCGCGUUAAGGCGGUUGGCAAAGUUGGUUGUGAAAUCUCUGGGCUCAACCCGGAAAUUGCGACCAAUACUGGUCGACUAGAGUGCAAGAGAGGAAGGUGGAAUUCCCGGUGUAGUAGUGAAAUGCGCAGAUAUCAGGAAGAACACCCGUGGCUAAGGCGGCUCUCUAGUACGGUACUGACGCUGAGACGCGAAAGCGUGGGGAGCGAACAGG